GAUGAACGCUGGCGGCGUGCCUAAUACAUGCAAGUCGAGCGAAUGGAUUAAGAGCUUGCUCUUAUGAAGUUAGCGGCGGACGGGUGAGUAACACGUGGGUAACCUGCCCAUAAGACUGGGAUAACUCCGGGAAACCGGGGCUAAUACCGGAUAACAUUUUGAACCGCAUGGUUCGAAAUUGAAAGGCGGCUUCGGCUGUCACUUAUGGAUGGACCCGCGUCGCAUUAGCUAGUUGGUGAGGUAACGGCUCACCAAGGCAACGAUGCGUAGCCGCCCUGGAAGGGUGAUCGGCCACACUGGGACUGAGACACGGCCCAGACUCCUACGGGAGGCAGCAGUAGGGAAUCUUCCGCAAUGGACGAAAGUCUGACGGAGCAACGCCGCGUGAGUGAUGAAGGCUUUCGGGUCGUAAAACUCUGUUGUUAGGGAAGAACAAGUGCUAGUUGAAUAAGCUGGCACCUUGACGGUACCUAACCAGAAAGCCACGGCUAUCUACGUGCCAGCCGCCGCAGUAA
rnacentral:rRNA from 1 species